UUUCUCUGCACUGACCUCAGCCUCAUUCCAUUCAGGCCAGAUAGGGAAGCGGCUCCUCUUCAGGUCCCCUGGGCCCUCUGAUGCACUGACCACUAAUGAGGAGACCCUAGAGUUGUCCAACUGUGCUUGAAUUGACCACCAGUGCGCCAUGUGACCUCUGUUUCCUUGGAGCAUUACCCAAGGCUGGAUUAGUAAGUAGGUUACCAUGGAGACAAGCCCACACUGUCACAAUUACCGUGGGCCCCACAGAACAUGACGUCCCAAUCAGCGUGGGCACCGCAACUUACAACACCGCAGACAACAUGGACAUGAAGGAGCAAGAUCAGUGUCCACACAACUCUGGGUCGAUCUAGUCUCAAACAGACACUAAAUAAAACUCUUAAUGCAA